UCCUUCACCCGGCCACAGGCGCUCCCUCUCCCACCCCUCCCUGGGGCCGGGCCCCCCCCACCCGUGUCCCCGCCGCCCGUGGCGGAGGGCCUGCUCGUCUCCCGCUGAGGAAGGAAAACAAAAACACGAGAGUGUUCUCGCAGUAGAGAGGCGGGCCACGGGGGGAGGAGCAGCGGCACCGCGGGAGGGCGCGCAGCUGCUCAGGCUCGGCGUUUAGAGAAUGCGCAAGCUUGAACUGAUAAUUUUUUUUCCAGUACAGUGAACAUGGACACCCAGUUAGGAAGGUCAUUUUGUUGUCUUCUCUCAGAGCUGAAUAGAUGCCUCAGCAUUCAGAUCUAGCAGAAAAUUGUACUCAAGCAUGUAUGAUUCUCUAAAUCUGCUCUAACUCCCGUCAUCCAUCGUCAAAAUGUAGUUUAGUGAGCUUGGUGGUCUGUGCUUUAAGUCAGUACAGUUGCAUCUCACACCGUGAAAACAAUUGUACGGAAUCAGUUGUUCCUUCAAAUCCUGAAUGCCACUAAUGAGGCUCACUGCUGAUGGGUGGCCCCCGGACCAGAGCCGCCUGCAUACAAAGCCGCCUACACUUGCUCCCCAACGUGGCAACAGUGAGGAGUCUUCUGAAAAAAUACUGGAGUAAGCGUGGUAGGACUUGAAAAUAAAAUCUUACUUCACCUCUAAGAGUGGGGUUUAUUUCUGAGAGGCUCUGUCAUGGUACUUCAAUUUUAGGACUGUAAACGAGUGCUUUGCUGGCAGUGACUCUGGAUAUAUUACACUUUUGUUGCCCGACUGUAUGCCUUACUUGCCAGAGGUCCUAACCCUCUACUGUGAGAGUUGGAUGGUGCUGUAAGGAGAGCAAUGCCCAGUACUUCCUCAGUAAACACGUAGACCAUGCUUGAAAGGUCUCAGAGACCCAGACUGAGGUUCAAAGCAAACACUGCAUUCUAAAUACAUAAAGAAAUUGUGAUGCUGUGUUUCCAUCUCUCUGUUGAAUAAAACACUUGGGUGGAUUUUAAUUUUGUGAGAAUUUUUUGAAGAGAUUUAGGAGAAAGCUUGGUAUAGAAGAAGAAGAAGAAAAGAAUUACAAGCUUAGGCAUUGCUUGGAAGCAUGUAUUCUGUAACACAAUUGACACUAUUUAUUGGGAUUGGUCAUGUCUACCAUAACAGAUCUGAGUCCAGAUUCUGUUGCAGAACCUCUGUUGCUGGACUGGCUUC